GUCUCUGAGUAAGAGUAAACUGUCAAGACUUAAAACUUACUUACUUUACCUUCACCAUGGGACUUGUAACUGUCACUUCUGUCUUGAGUGGUUAAAAGAUAGAACAGUCUAGCCAAGUGCCAUGUCUCUUAUUCUUGAUCAGCUAUAGCUGUGGGGUUUUUGCAGAUUUUCAAAUAAAACUCAGAGAUUCCUUGUAUGAUUCUCUCAGGUCUCUCUUUUGUGGUAUUUUUGGAUCCUUACCAAGGCAUUGAUGGUAUAUGCCUUCUCUCAAGAUAUGUGGUAUUUGUGGUAUGAGGCAUAGUGACAUUGCCUUCUCUCUCAUCCUACUCUAAUAAGGCUUUAAUAUCUGGAGCUCAUAGGUGGGAGAUAAAAUAUACAUACUUACAAGACAUUUAUUGCAUAGUCAAACCGUGGAUCCAAAGAAACUAAUCAAUAAGCCAAAUCAAGAUGUGCAUGUGUGGCGAAUGAAUGAUGUAUGGUGGUGAUAGUGAUAACAAUGGUGAAAACAAUGGUGAAAACAAUGGUGAAAACAAUGGUGGUGAAAGUCUAAUUCUACUUUGCUCUUUUGAGGGGAUACAUACCUUCCUUGCUUUUGAAACUUUAUGAGGAGAAUGAGAUGCUCUUCUUUCUCUUUUCUCUCAGGUGGGUAUCUUGCACCCCUAAUUCUACUGUCGGACACUUGUCCAUUUUUACCUCUCGUCUCACUUUUUUCUUUUCUUUCGAGGUUCCGAGCACUUGCUCCUUUUUAUUUCCUCGUAUUAUUUUCUUCUUCUCUCUUUUUUUAGAGCACUCAUCUCUUGAGAUAAUAUAGCAAGUGGUAGUAACAAGAUAACUUGAGCAUUUAUUUCACAAGGGAAAGCAGAAAUAUUUUUGGUUAUUCUCUCCCGGAUUAGGAGUAGAAUAUUUUUAGGUGGUUCUGGAGAUGGAAUGGGUGGAUAUAUGUGGAUGGUACUUCCGGAGUAGAAGUAGCAUAUAUGAGUGAACGUGCAAGUGAAAUCUUGAUUUAACCACAUGACAAGCUCCUAAGGGUCUACACAGCUUGACCAUACUCAAUGCUCAUAAGCAGUAAAUAAUGAAUGUGUGGCUCAAGGUCUAGCAAGCAUGUAUAUAUGGCUGUGGUAGGAAUUUAACCCUCUCAACAUACAGGAACUCAUCAUGCAACAUUUUAAAGAUUUUCAAAGAUAAAUUCUCCAGAAUUCUAGCAUCUCUAGGAACAGAUAAACAACAGCUCAGCCUUUCCAUAUCGUAUCCGUUAACAACUUAGACUUCAGAUCAAGUUUUCAUCCCACAAGUUUAGGUCUAGGGCAAGCUUUAAAUUAUAACAGUUAUGUCUAAACUUGAGAGAGAACUUAAAAUGUGCAAAUUAGGCAGAGCAACUAUUCAUCAUAUCCAUGCUUAAGUUUUAUUAGAUACAGAUUAGCAUAGCCACUUUAUUUAUUAAUUAAACACACUAAGUAAUAUAUAUAUAUAUAAGCAUAAAAUCUUUAUUUGGUUUUCCCAUAGUUUAUGUGUAUUAAUAUUCUAAAAUAAUAUAAGUAUAAAGAUAGAUAAAAAUACUUAUCGGGAUAAAUGGGGGUGCUCUCCCCCAAGCUGAAUUUUGACGUAAUUUCUCUUGAUAUAGCUAGCAGGCGGCAGAGGUGUAGUUGAAAGUCAGCAGUAUUCUGACAGCGAUUAGAAUGUCCUCCGUCUGCUAGUCUUCUUGAAUUCUUAAAUUCUGUGGAGCUCAAAUAGACAACAAAGCUUGUGGAACUGAUUAAGUGUUAGCAUAAAUAUCUAGCCUUUAUCAUCUUGAGACUCCUUAAUAAUUAUUACUCCCUGUUUUUAUAUUUUUAUUUUAUAAAGCAGAAAAAUAUUUAUUUUAUUUUUAUGCCACCACAGUGAAUGUACGUAUGGGUUUUAUGCCACUCGUCUAUUCACAUGGGGCUUACUAUUUUUCACAUUUUUAUUUUCUUUUUAAGACAGUAUGAGCAUGUUUAACUAAGUAAACUAUUUAAAAUAAUUGAAAAGGAAAGGAUAACUACCAAGUUUACCUCUUGCCAAGGCGUUCGGUGUUUUUAAGUCCUCCGAACGGGACUCUCCAAUUUCUUAAUCGUCCUGAGGUUCGUUGGGUGGCGUAGUCGGUACUUCCGGCAGCGCCUCCUCUUCUUGUAUAGUUAUCUUCAUUUUCCAUACCUGACUUGGUGCUUCAAUCUCCUCUGGAUAAUUCUGUUUAAACUCUACGUCUUCUGACCUUACAACUUCUCCUUCAUAGUCUGCCCAUCCGUCCUUGAUGAUCUGCCUCCUCUGGUUGCGGUUGCGUCUCUUUCUGACCUGCUUAGAUUCUUCAACGAUAUAGUCAGGGUCAGUUAAAUAACGGCGUACCUUCUCUGAGGGGAAGUGCAUAUGGACUUCUCCGGUUCCAAUAUAGAUAAUUGCUUUAACGGUGCUGAGGAACGGUCUUCCAAGGAUGAUGGGUGGAUCAUAUUCAUCUUCUCCCAUGUCAACAACUUGAAAGUCUGUGUAGACAAAGUGAUCGUCUAUUUUGACUGGGACAUCAGAUACUAUUCCUUUAACUUCUCGAAAUGUCUGAUCUGCCAUCUGGAGUUGAAUGUAUGUUGGUCUUAGUGGCAUGGUUCCGAACAAGAGCCGAUAGGUGACUGCGGCCAUUAUGUUGACGCCUGAUCCGGUGUCGCAAAUCGUCUUGUAGAAGUUAUAUCCAUUUAUGGAGCAGUAGAUGCUUGGCAUUCCUGGGUCGUCUUUCUUGGUCAAAAACGGCGACUUAAGUUGAUGAUCUUGGCCUCCAUGGACUACAGUGACCAUCUUAGCUGACUCGGUCCACACUUGCUUGUUCCUGUUUCUCCUGUUGGUCCUCUUCCUUGAUUUACGUCUGGAUUGAUCUUGAAUUUGUGUAGUCUUGUUCUUGAAGAAAAAUAUCUCCUUCUUCCCUUUGACGUAGAAACUGAUCUUAGCAGCACUGGCGUAGAUGAUAGCUCCCGUGGUGUUCAAAAAUGGCCUCCCUAGGAUGAUAGGUGCUCUCUCAUCAUUUCCGGUCUCUACCACUACGAAGUCUGCUGGUGCAUACAAGGUACCAACUCGGACACAAAGGUUCCUCACUAUUCCUUUUGGAAAAGUUAUCGUCUGAUCUGCAAACUGCAAACACAUGGUUGUCUCUAAUAAAGGAUAUGUAAAGAAUUUCUCAUAGAGUACCCUAGGUAUAAUGUUGACACUGGAGCCAAAGUCGCAGAGUGCUUCUGGGACAUCCACCAUGCCGAUGGAGAUCGGGAUGACGGGGCGUCCUGGAUUGCCUCUCUUGACCGGCAGACGGUCAGUAGAAAAUUCAGUGACGGGGUUACUCCAAUUACCUGCAUCAAACACGUCUACAAGAUUUGCAGAUUCUAAUCCUUCCGGUUGUGAUGGUAUACCGGGGUUAGUAGUAGGAACAGCAGCAGCUAUCUGAUUUAACUGAGAUUCAAUCAUUUUAUUAAAGCUAAUUUGAUUCUUGAUGGCAGUAGAAAAAUUAUCCAUUCUAUUAUUUAUAUUUUCUAGCAUUUUAUCAUUAGAUGCCAAUUUCUUAGAUAGAUUAUCCAUUAGCUUUCCUUGAUUAGACACUAACUCUCUCAAAGGUGGAAAAUUAUUAUUGUUGUUGUAAGAAUUGUUACCUUGAUAAUUACCUGAGUAGUUAGGCCUCUGUUGAUUCCAACCUUGAUUUUGUUGAGGACGGUUGUAGUAGUAGUUGUUGUUGUUGAUGUAGUUCACAUCCUCAAGUAUCUCAGGGCAGUGGUUGCCUGAGUGUCCAGUGUCUCCACACUCCUCACAAGUCAUGUGAGAGUCGUAGAUGUGCAUAACUUCUUUCUUGUCUCCAGCUCUAUCGUCGAGCUUCUUCAUGAGCAGGUCUAGCUUUGCAGACAGCAUGUCUACCUCCUUCAGCUGAUGCAUACCUCCACCUCUCUUGCGUGUCUGGGUCCUCUCUUCAUUCCAGCUUUGAUUGGACGCCAUCUUCUCCACAAGAGCUGUGGCUUGUGGUAUAGUAAGUGAUAAGAAUGCUCCUCCAGCUGCAGCAUCGAUAGUCUCUCGGGCACUGUUGCUGAGCCCAUGAUAGAAUGUCUGCAUCAAUAGCCAACUCUCCAUUCCAUGAUGGGGACAUUCUAGGAUGUAGUCUUGAAAGCGCUCCCAUGCUUCUGGAACAGAUUCAUCAUUUUGUUGCUGAAAACUUGUAAUCUUCCCACGGAGAGCAUUGGUCUUGCCCAUGGGAAAGAACUUAGCCAGGAAGUUUGUUGAGCAGAGUGCCCACGUAGUAUUCUUCUCCUUUGUAGCGUAGAACCACUGCUUCGCUCUUUCUAGCAGUGAGAAUGGGAAGAGGCGAAGUAAUAUAGCGUCUUUGGAAACUCCUGCUAUGGUGAAUGUGUUGCAAAUCUCCAGGAAGUGUUGUAAAUGAGCACUAGCAUCUUCGUGUGCCUUCCCACAGAACUGGUUGGAUUGCACCAUGUUGAUAAGUCCAGGCUUGAGCUCAAAGUUGCCAUCGAUCUCUGCAGCAGGUCCAGUGCGGAUGUUGUCCGUAGUGGGAGCUGAGAACUCGCGGAUCGAUUUGUUCGCCAUGGCUUCGAACUCUGAAGACAAGUUUCGGUGAUCUUCUUGAUUGGAUGAAGCUUCUUGCUGAAGUGUUGAUGAUUUCUUUAGCUUGGCCCUCGUCUUCUUGAAUAAUGCUUCAGGAUCGUCAACAAAAUUCCCUGGAAGAUGUCUUCUAUUCAUACAUUCCCCUGCAUAAGAUAAAAUAGAAAAAUAUCGGGGUAAAACUGUAUGAGAGAAUAGAUAAGCUCAAUCAUAUUAGUGAUGCGAAUGAUAACUCAAAAUCUUUUAUUCCAUUCCUGAUUGGUAAUCAACCUUCCCCGGCAACGGCGCCAAAAAUGCUUGUUGGGUAUUCUUAACAUCAUUACUAAAAGUAGACUAAGUUCUAAAUCUAGCAACGGUGCCAAAAAUGCCAAACCUAUCCCUCACACCACUUAAGCCAAGUUGUCAUCCCCAGCAUGAUAUAAGAGACGUGGUAUUGAAAUAUGCAAUUGCUCUUCUAAAUAAAUAAUGAAUGGGAUCUGCAAGCGCACAGAUUAAUACCGAUGCAGCAUUUUAACCGGGAAGUAUUCCAGGUAUCGUUAUUUAUAUUUUUACCACUGGGAAGGGAUUAGUCAAUCAUCACUAUUGAUUACAGAAUAGAAUAUGAGAUUGAGCAUCUAUCAUUGCAUGUAUAAUUGAGAACAUUAUAUCCAACUCUUCAUACAGGGAUAAGUGUCACAUAAUAGAUAUAUGAAAUGAUAAUAGUGACAAGGAUAACUAAUCGGAUCUAGCCACAUAAUAAAUAUGAUAAGCACGUCAAUUAGAUACUCUAGAAAGUCAUUAGCAUGGUAUUAGAAUGAACUACAAGAAUAUUCCCUAAGUUAUUCUCAACUAUAUAGUCUAGCAUAUCAUAGUUAGUGCAAGCAUACUUAGCAAUCAUUGCGAGACAAGACUACGCCCAUGCAUAGUGAUAUUAGCAAGGAAUAUGAGAAACAUAGCAAUCACUCCCCUGUAAUAAUGUUGCUCUGCCAGCCCAAUACACGAGAGGGGGACUAUAUAAGAAUCAAUGAAGCUGUCACUAUCACGAACUACCCCACGAUCUGGCAUAUUGGGUACAAUCGCAGAUAAAUACGGUAUAAGCACCACGCCUACACAAUAUCUAUCAUUUACCCAUGGAUCCGAUGGAUAAACGCUAUACGAUCCUAAGCAUGUAUAUAGAUCGUAUCUAACUAAGCCAAGUACAUAACUAUGAUAAACUAAGAACAAUAUAAUCUUGAAUAUAAGCAAGUAGAGCAAAGUCAUAAGCAAUAUAUUGAAGUAGAACAAAGUCAUAUUCAUAAUAUUGAAGAACAAAGAUAAUUAGAAAGCAAUUAGAAGCACAAUUAGAGAAUUACCAAGAAUCCUCCUGACAGAUCCGGAAACCAAUCGAAGAUUGACUCCUUCUAGUUCUAAUCCUAUGUAGCUAUGCUAAUCGAGAUAUCUAAUUGAUGUGGUGGCUCUAAUCUUGAUCAGAGGCUUCUUCUCCCUUGAUGGAACAAUGAAUUAGGGUUGAGAGGCUCCCUCCUCCAGGGGCCAGGGGGUCUGGUUUUAUAGUCCCUUCAAGUGAAUAUGGGCCCUUGGAUCAAACCGACAUAGAUUGUAUGGUUUAGAUUCAUCCUUUAGGUCGGUGGAGACUUCCCGCAAAGCAGAGUCCUGAUUGGACUCCAGAGGUGGGCGGGCGCCCUGACCAACUGGGCGGCCGCCCAGGGUCUGGCCCCGUUUCACCUCCGCUUCGGUCUCGUGGCUUCUGGAGUCUUCUAGAUGUAAGAUAAUUGCGCAGCACGUUAAUAUCUUUACGUAAUCCUGACAUGUGGGCCUUUCUUCCAUAUUUCUUGAUAACUCCCUGCAGAAAUAGACAAACACCAAAACUCGUGGAAUUCUGUCAGAUAAAACCCUAAGUCUAGAUCUUGAUUUCAUUUGGAUCCUUUUCUUUAUUUAUUUGAUAAUUAAAUUUGAUACUUAAGGACCAUCAACAAACUCCCCCAAGCUUACCUCUUGCUCGUCCCUGAGCAAGGAUAGACUCAGCUAUGGAUCAUAAGAAGUUGCAAUAUCUUUAAAAAUUUGACGGUACACAUGCUUUUAAAUAAGAUCUCAUCUCUGAGUAAGAGUAAACUGUCAAGACUUAAAACUUACUUACUUUACCUUCACCAUGGGACUUGUAACUGUCACUUCUGUCUUGAGUGGUUAAAAGAUAGAACAGUCUAGCCAAGUGCCAUGUCUCUUAUUCUUGAUCAGCUAUAGCUCUGGGGUUUUUGCAGAUUUUCAAAUAAAACUCAGAGAUUCCUUGUAUGAUUCUCUCAGGUCUCUCUUUUGUGGUAUUUUUGGAUCCUUACCAAGGCAUUGAUGGUAUAUGCCUUCUCUCAAGAUAUGUGGUAUUUGUGGUAUGAGGCAUAGUGACAUUGCCUUCUCUCUCAUCCUACUCUAAUAAGGCUUUAAUAUCUGGAGCUCAUAGGUGGGAGAUAAAAUAUACAUACUUACAAGACAUUUAUUGCAUAGUCAAACCGUGGAUCCAAAGAAACUAAUCAAUAAGCCAAAUCAAGAUGUGCAUGUGUGUCGAAUGAAUGAUGUAUGGUGGUGAUAGUGAUAACAAUGGUGAAAACAAUGGUGAAAACAAUGGUGGUGAAAGUCUAAUUCUACUUUGCUCUUUUGAGGGGAUACAUACCUUCCUUGCUUUUGAAACUUUAUGAGGAGAAUGAGAUGCUCUUCUUUUUCUUUUCUCUCAGGUGGGUAUCUUGCACCCCUAAUUCUACUGUCGGACACUUGUCCAUUUUUACAUCUCGUCUCACUUUUUUCUUUUCUUUCGAGGUUCCGAGCACUUGCUCCUUUUUAUUUCCUCGUAUUAUUUUCUUCUUCUCUCUUUUUUUUAGAGCACUCAUCUCUUGAGAUAAUAUAGCAAGUGGUAGUAACAAGAUAACUUGAGCAUUUAUUUCACAAGGGAAAACAGAAAUAUUUUUGGUUAUUCUCUCCUGGAUUAGGAGUAGAAUAUUUUUAGGUGGUUCUGGAGAUGGAAUGGGUGGAUAUAUGUGGAUGGUACUUCCGGAGUAGAAGUAGCAUAUAUGAGUGAACGUGCAAGUGAAAUCUUGAUUUAACCACAUGACAAGCUCCUAAGGGUCUACACAGCUUGACCAUACUCAAUGCUCAUAAGCAGUAAAUUAUUUGAUAAUUAAAUUUGAUAACACCAAAACUCGUGGAAUUCUGUCAGAUAAAACCCUAUGUCUAGAUCUUGAUUUCAUUUGGACCCUUUUCUUUAUUUAUUUGAUAAUUAAAUUUGAUACUUAAGGACCGUC
rnacentral:lncRNA from 1 species